rnacentral:rRNA from 1 species
GACGAAUGCUGGCUGCGUGCUUAACACAUGCAAGUCGAACGGUGAAGGGGAGCUUGCUCCCCGGAUCAGUGGCGAACGGGUGAGUAACACGUGGGCAACCUGCCCCUCACUCUGGGAUAACUCCGGGAAACCGGGGCUAAUACCGGAUACGACCGGGAGCGACAUCGCUCCUGGUGGAAAGAACUUCGGUGAGGGAUGGGCCCGCGGCCUAUCAGCUAGUUGGUGGGGUAACGGCCCAACAAGGCGACGACGGCUAGCCGGCCUGAGAGGGAGACCGGCCACACUGGGACUGAGACACGGCCCAGACUCCUACGGGAGGCAGCAGUGGGGAAUAUUGCGCAAUGGGCGAAAGCCUGACGCAGCGACGCAGCGUGAGGGACGAAGGCCUUCGGGUUGUAAACCUCUUUCAGCGGGGACGAAGCGAAAGUGACGGUACCCGCAGAAGAAGCACCGGCUAACUACGUGCCAGCCGCCGCAGUAAAAC